rnacentral:pre_miRNA from 1 species
GCUACAUUUCAUCUUACUAUACAGCAUUAGUUCGAUAAUAUUGAUUUGCUAAUACUGUCAGGUAAAGAUGGCAUAAGGA